CCCACACCACCCCACCCCAAAAUAAAUUCAGCUUUAAAGUAAUUAUACCAGCAAGCCAAAAUAGCCAGUGGGAGGGAUCAAGCACCCUUAUACUUUGGAACCCAGUCUAUUUCAUUAUUGCACAAUGAACUCAAGGAUGUGAGUUCUCCCCUGUCAGUGCUUCACUACCAGACAAUUCUGGCUCCUCCUCUACACUGGAACAACCUCCUAACCUCCUCACCUGGGAGAGAUGAGGCAAAGCAUCACACUGAAUAGGUCAGUGGUGUAGCAGGCCCUAGUGACGGGCAGCACAUCACACUGAAUAGGUUAGUGGUGUAGCAGGCCCUAGUGACAGGCAGAGCAUCACACUGAAUAGGUCAGUGGUGUAGCAGGCCCUAGUGACAGCCAGCACAUCACACUGAAUAGGUCAGUGGUAUAGCAGGCCCUAGUGACAGGCAGAGCAUCACACUGAAUAGGUCAGUGGUGUAGCAGGCCCUAGUGACAGCCAGCACAUCACACUGAAUAGAUUAGUGGUGUAGCAGGCCCUAGUGACAGGCAGAGCAUCACACUGAAUAGGUCAGUGGUGUAGCAGGCCCUGGUGACAGGCAGAGCAUCACACUGAAUAGAUUAGUGGUGUAGCAGGCCCUAGUGACAGGCAGAGCAUCACACUGAAUAGAUCAGUGGUGUAGCAGGCCCUAGUGACAGCCAGCACAUCACACUGAAUAGAUUAGUGGUGUAGCAGGCCCUAGUGACAGGCAGAGCAUCACACUGAAUAGGUCAGUGGUGUAGCAGGCCCUAGUGACAGGCAAAGCAUCACACUGAAUAGGUUAGCGGUAUAGCAGGCCCUAGUGACGGGGAGCACCUGGCAGCAGGGCACCCGGCUCAGAUCAGAAGCACCCUUUCAGACGGCCGGCCCAUGCCAGCUCUCCCGCAGCUCAUUGGUUACUUCCAUUCAGGAUCCCGAGCAGGCGAUUGGUGUUUCUAUGCAGAUCCACACUCAGCUGACUGGUGUUUCUAUGCAGAUACACGGGGCAGCCGAUUCGUCUUUCCUCGCUGUUUGAGUCAGCGGCCGAUUGGUGCUCUCGCGCGACUUCCAGCGCAAAAGAGACGCGUUCCUGCAGCGCACGGGAGAGGAAGAACGCCUGAUUGGUGCAACCUGUGUUGGGAAAUAUAAGUCAGCUGACACCCGAUAGCUGCAGACGCCAGCCUGGAGAGAUUGCCGUUGGGCCCCCACACCUGAAAACUCACAGUUGAUGGACGUUGUGUGGACUUGUGCUAAUUCACAUAGUAAUAAUUAUAAUAAUGCAGGUAGACUGCAUUAUUUCUGAACAAAAUGAUGAAAUAAUGAAAUAAUGAAACCGCCCGGGAGUUGUGACUGCAAGACUCUCUGUUGCUAUGCAAACCACAGAGAUAAAGUGUGUGCCAAUGACUCACCGGAAAGAGCAAAAGAGAGUAAAAGAGAAAAAGGAGAGAGCUCUUGUUUGAAGGAUGCAAUCACUGAUGCUCGUUAUACUGUAUUACAACAAGCGCUAAUGAUUAAAAAGUGUUUUUGUUUCCUAGACUGUUGUGGAAAUACAAUGACAUUUAGCA